rnacentral:rRNA from 1 species
GAUGAACGCUGGCGGUAUGCUUAACACAUGCAAGUCGAACGGACUCUUCGGAGUUAGUGGCGGACGGGGGAGUAACGCGUGAGAAUCUGGCUUUGGGUUCGGGACAACCACUGGAAACGGUGGCUAAUACCGGAUGUGCCGAGAGGUAAAAGAGAAUUGGCCUGAAGAUGAGCUCGCGUCUGAUUAGCUAGUUGGUGAGGUAAAGGCUCACUAAGGCAGCGAUAAGUAGCUGGCCUGAGAGGAUGGCCAGCCACCCUGGGACUGAGACACGGCAGAGACUCCUACGGGAGGCAGCGGUGGAGAAUGUUCCGCAAUGGGCGAAAGCCUGACGGAGCAAUACCGCGUGUGGGAAGAAGGUUCUUGGGUUGUAAACCUCUUUUCUUAGAGAAGAACAAAAUGACGGUACCUAAGGAAUCAGCACCGGCUAACUCCGUG